CAGUAGCCACGGGAAUACGUAGGUGGCAAGCGUUGUCCGGAAUUAUUGGGCGUAAAGCGCGCGCAGGCGGAUCAGUCAGUCUGUCUUAAAAGUUCGGGGCUUAACCCCGUGAGGGGACGGAAACUGCUGAUCUAGAGUAUCGGAGAGGAAAGUGGAAUUCCUAGUGUAGCGGUGAAAUGCGUAGAUAUUAGGAAGAACACCAGUGGCGAAGGCGACUUUCUGGACGAAAACUGACGCUGAGGCGCGAAAGCCAGGGGAGCGAACGGGAUUAGAUACCCCCGUAGUCCCUGUCUCUUAUACA
rnacentral:rRNA from 1 species